UUUGCCAUCCUCACCAUUAUCGCCCUUCUUAAAUCUUCAAGCAUCUCUAUGACUGGCUUCUUCCUUGUCAUAAUUAUAUAUGAGGUGAAUGUUUCUGCCAUAUUAUUAUCAACCACAUCACACUAUGGAAAAGAACUGAAAAAGGCUUUCACAAAGCUUCUUGGGUUACCCUGCAUAAAGUCUCUCCAUGCCUCCUCUAAUAGCUCUUUUAUCUCAUUCAAAACAUCAAGGAAGCCUCCUUCUAUCAUG
rnacentral:lncRNA from 1 species